UACGUGCGUUGCAAGAAGAUCCCGGGCGGGCACUGCGACCAAUCCGGGGUGGUGGAGCGGUGCGGGGAGAUGUUCGCCAAGAACGUGGCGCACAAGCGCAUGCCCUCGGUUCGUCAAGGGAACGUUCGGGUCGUCCUCCUGCGCGGGGCGCUGGAGUACCAACGCGCCAACGCCGCGCCUCGGCUCUCGUCUUUGGACACGUUGCUGGACCAGGAGCACGAGCACCUGCGCGGGGCGGUGGCCAGGAUAAACGGAGUAAAAGCGGACGUCCUCGUGGUGGAGCGAACGGUGGCGAGGUUCGCUCGUGAGCUGCUGCUGGAGCGAGGGGUGAGUUUGGUAAUCAACGUCAAGUCGAGUUGCGU
rnacentral:lncRNA from 1 species